rnacentral:rRNA from 1 species
UACGUAGGGUGCAAGCGUUGUCCGGAAUUAUUGGGCGUAAAGAGCUCGUAGGCGGUUUGUCGCGUCUGCUGUGAAAACUCGGGGCUUAACCCCGGGCCUGCAGUGGGUACGGGCAGACUAGAGUGCGGUAGGGGAGACUGGAAUUCCUGGUGUAGCGGUGAAAUGCGCAGAUAUCAGGAGGAACACCGAUUGCGAAGGCAGCUCGCUGGAACGUUACUGACGCUGAGACGCGAAAGCGUGGGGAGCAAACAGG